AAAGCAAUUGUGCAAGCUUUUUCCUAGUCUAUGGGACUAUUCUCAGUUAACUUUUGGAACAGUGUCUGGAUGCCUGCAACCACUUUGCUAAGAAAAUCCUUCCUAUCUGAAUGCCCUGGUGUUCUCAAAUAUCUGUAAAUCAUUUUCCCCCCUGCCAUAUGUGUUUGGAUACAAAUGUACAACUUCUUGUUGCAUUUUUGAAUUGGAGUUCUUCCUUCCUCAGAUUCAGAUUAAGGUACUCUGUCUUUAUCUGUCUCCUAGGAGAGAAACCUGUAACUUGCCUGCUUUAAGAUAAAGCUGUCAGCUCUAGUAUCUUUCACUUCAUGCUUCAUAAUAAAUUCCAGCAACCAUGACUCUUUCGUGACUGUCAUCACAAGCAUCUUCACAAAACACAAUUAUUAUCAGAAGCAACUUGAGGAAAAGUUAUUUUAAAGUAGUAGCAUUACAUGAAAAAAAAAAUUACAUCAGUUCAGAUUUUUUUUAAUAACAUGGCUGAUGGGAACUUCUAAUGCCGUAGCGGUUAUAAACUGUCAUGGUUUGACAUGAUAGCCAUUUCUGGUAAGGGGGAAGGGGCUGUAAAGAUGGUUCCUGUAAGUAGUUGCUCAAAACUCUCCCCAGCUCUGAGACAGAUCCACUGCUGGGGCUGAGCCAAUUAGACGCCUCCACGAUCAUUUUUUAAGAAGAAGCCAGAAGAGGAGGCUUCUACCUCCUUCUUCUUCCUGUUUCUUCCUUCUUCCACCCUUCUUUUUCUUCUGGUUGGUGGUGGUGCAAGGAGUAGAAAGAAUGAGAGAAACAACCGUCCAGACUCCAAGGUCAGUGAUGAAAGAGUCUCUGCUGGAGCAGAGAUUCCCCUGCAUUCUAUGGAGAGAACUGGUGAAGCUGAGAUUUAUUUUCAUUUCUUUAAAGAUCCCGCAUCAGUGGUACAGACUCAUUUUGAUAAUGACUCUGUAUCAGGGGCAACAAUUCACUUCAUUAAAGGCCCCAUGCCAGGGACAGUGACUAUGGCUGGAGGGGGUUGUGUGCCUUGGGAGGGACCCAAUCACUUCACUACAGACCCCGAGACAGGGGCAGUGAAUUUCUUCUUUAAAAUUAUGGCCAGAAGAGGCUGUGUCCUGAGGAAGGGACCCUUUAUCACUAUGGCCGGAGGAGGCCAUGUCCCGAGGGAAGGACCCAAUAUCCACAGCUGUAAGUGUGGGGAGGAACCCACGACAAAGCAGCUCAUUAAACUUAUGCCGAGAAGAGGCCUUGUCCCGAGAGAGGGACCCUGUAACUGUAGAAACUGCAACCGUGGUGAAGAAUCCACGCCAGAGAUAUUCACCAAGGACUGUGUCCCGUGUGAGGGACCCUGUGUCGGCAGAAGUCGCAGCUGUUGGGAACAACCCACACCAGAGAAGUUCGUUACGGACUGUGUCCUGGAGGAGGGAACCCCAUGUUGAAGCAGGGGAAGACUGCCAGCAGUUGUCCUCAUCUGAGAAGACAGAAGCGGCAGAACCCAUCUGUGAGAGACUGACCACAUCCCCCACUCCCUGCCCCCCUGAGCCGUUGAGAGGGAAGGAGGUAGAGAUAUCGGAAGCAGUGAGCUGGGCCCGGGAAGAAAGGAGGGAUUAGGGGGGGGAGAUCUUAAAGUGCUGGUUGUAAUUUUCUCAUCAUCCUACUCCCUUUUGGCUUUUAUUCCAUUCUGUUUCUUGUAGAAUAAACUUUCCUACUUUCCUCUCUAA